rnacentral:misc_RNA from 1 species
GCAGAAAUAGGUGCCCUUGAUCAUGAGAUUCUUUUGGGGUGUGUAGCUCCAGGGGUCGGACUUGGUGCAAGGUCCCAGCUUCAGCGGGUCCGACAGCAAUUUCCUCACAAUGCAAGAGCUUGUUGGUGGAUGAUAGAUCCUUGUGAUCGGACGGUGGCGGGUGAUAUAAUCUUUAGCAGUGGGUACUUUAAGAUUCAUGUCUGGUGGAGUUGCAAGGGCCAUGGAAGUUAGAUGUAGGAGGCACAGGGCUUGUGGGAGAAAAGAGAGCUCCAUGCUUGUGCUUUACUUCCGAGAUGGUAGGUGAGC